GAGUUUGAUCCUGGCUCAGAAUCAACGCUGGCGGCGUGCCUAACACAUGCAAGUCGAACGCGAAAGCCCCGCAAGGGGUAAGUAGAGUGGCAAACGGGUGAGUAACACGUGGGUGACCUGCCUUCGAGUGGGGGAUAACGUCCCGAAAGGGACGCUAAUACCGCAUGACAUCCUGCGUUUGGAAACGCGGAGAUCAAAGCCGGGGAUCGCAAGACCUGGCGCUUGAAGAGGGGCCCGCGCCUGAUUAGCUAGUUGGUGGGGUAAUGGCCUACCAAGGCGACGAUCAGUAUCCGGCCUGAGAGGGCGGACGGACACACUGGGACUGAGACACGGCCCAGACUCCUACGGGAGGCAGCAGUGGGGAAUUGUUCGCAAUGGGCGCAAGCCUGACGACGCAACGCCGCGUGGAGGACGAAGAUCUUCGGGUCGUAAACUCCUGUCGAGCGGGAAGAACGCUUCCCGGGUGAAUAAUCCGGGGAGGUGACGGUACCGCUAAAGGAAGCCCCGGCUAACUCCGUGCCAGCAGCCGCGGUAAUACGGGGGGGGCAAGCGUUGUUCGGGAUUACUGGGCGUAAAGGGCUCGUAGGCGGCCAACUAAGUCGGAUGUGAAAUCCCCAGGCUUAACCUGGGAACUG
rnacentral:rRNA from 1 species